UAUCGGGCCUGUCGACUAGCUCCCAUCCGUCUGCUCCAGAUUCUAGAACGGGAAGAACCUGUACCCUCUGUGAAGCACUCCCACUUCUUUUUCUUGCCCCUCCCCUCACUGGGGUGCAAGCAUCAAGUCAGUCAGCUCCAAGUUGGGAGGAAUGCCUGCGCUUCCCUGCCGAGCAGCGCUGAAACCGAGAGGUCGCGGCUGAGGAAGCUGGUCACAAAGACGUUCUCCACUUGAACGUGGGGGAUGUGGCUGAAGACCGCAAAUGCUUGGUCUUUGGGGGUUGUGGAUUUUGGUCUCUUCUGCAGAAGUGGGAUCUCCAUGGCCAACAGUGGGGGGUCUCCCAGAGACCCCCAGACGGCUCCCAGGGGGAAAGCACCACAUCUAUACCCUAAUGGUGCAGACCAUCUUAAUGAAAACUGCGUCCCUCUUGUUGAUGCCUCUGGCCUCUUCCCAGCAGGACCACAGCCAGUAACCCACCACGAGAGUGUCAGAAGUUACUUCCAGUGAAAGCUGAACUGAAUGAACUGCAUUUUAAACAAAAACCCCCACAUUUGUUCUAGAUGGAGUCUGGCAGACCCACACACAGCUUCAGUGACCACUUUGAGCACCAAUUAAUGAUAAAAGUUGAAAGGGACACAAAAGAUUUCCAGAGGGACAAACCAUCAGCAUGAAUGCUCUGAAGUAUGUUAAGUUCUAAAAAUUCCCAAAGAUUUGGGAUUUAUAGUCCUAGCGCCAAAGAAGGAAGGCAGAUCACGGAGGUCAGUGACUUUAGCUUGAAAUGAAGCCUAUUUCCGGCCCUUCUCUGAUCUUCAGACCAACAGGGAGGUCUUCUCAACAUUAAAAAAAGUGCUGCCGUGCUCGAUCAAGAGCCCACCUUCUAUCUGCGAACCGAAACAUCGGAAAGAAAUACAGAGGAGAUGCGGGGGAAUUUUAACAAAUGAAGUGUCCUAACUUCCGUCCUGUUUGAGAAUUUAAGCGGCGCAUGCUAUUUUCGGUCAUGCUUAUUUUAAAUGUUUGCCCGCUGCCAUGAGGUUGUGCAGAAUGGCCCUCCACACCCCCACACCCCCACUGCCCGGACGGGACCGCCCUGAAAGAGAAGCUCACCGCUCAGAAGAAUACACACACUGGUCCCGCUGCCCUGGCCCCAAGGACGGGAGCAACUCUCCAGGGUGAAAAAGUCCCAAGGGUGGGGGGUCGACCAAGGGGUAGGAGGGGGUUUCCUGGGUGCUGGACAUGGCCCCUGCUUGAUGAGCAGGGUGGCUACAUGGGGGCGAGGG